GCCCCGGAGGGGUCCCGUCCCGCCCUCCCCGCGGCCGGCCCCCGCCUGUCACGUGACGCUGGACAAGAUGGCGGCUCUCGCCGACGGGUCGGACCUGGAGACGUCGCUGCUGAGCUUCGAGAAGCUGGACCGCGCCUCUCCUGACCUGUGGCCCGAGCAGCUACCAGGUGUUGCUGAAUUUGCUGCUUCCUUCAAAAGUCCUAUUGCCAGUUCUCCUCCAAAAUGGAUGGCUGAGCUAGAAAAUGAUGAUAUUGACAUGUUAAAAGAGCUGGGGAGUCUCACCACUGCUAACCUGAUGGAGAAGGUACGAGGCCUGCAGAACUUGGCUUAUCAGCUGGGGUUGGAUGAAUGCAAAGAAGUCAAGAUUGGAUCAUUUUAGGAAAUUGGGAAUGAUAUAGGAAGUCUCAUUUUUGGGCACAGUUUCUAAUGAUCCAGCUAGAGAAAUGACUCGAGGGAAAUUCCUAAACAUCUUGGAGAAACCGAAGAAGUAGCUUCUGCUUCUGAAACUUGGGCAGAAAUUACACCUGAAUGGAUUGUCUUGCCUGUCACUUGCAGACCAAGUGAAACACCACAACUUCCCAAAGGGAAAGACAAAGCUUUUUGCUCUAGAUCAACAGAAGUGAACCUCUCUAUAGUUUCCUUAGCUCAUCUCCUUACUGAUGAGAAGCAUUCCAGAUGCUGUUCACAAGGAUUGCCAGGGAUUCCAUCAAUAUUGCAACUUCAUCAACCAACCUUUACAUGCCUGUCAGGAAAGCUUGGCCUUUUGCCCAGGCUGUGGCAAACUUGUACAACAGUUUUUCUACAGAUCAUUUAACAUGAAUAUCCCCAAUGUCUUCAUUCGGUUACUGGGUGUAUGUGAUGCCAGCCAGAAUAUAUCAUGAAGCAUGGGCCCUUUUAUAUGCCUCUCUUGCCUUAAGAACAUGGAUUUCAUAUGUGCCAUUUCCAUGCUGAAAGAUGCAUGCAGAGUUCUGGACAAAGACGGUUCUGGCCUUGGUUAAACUGAGUCUGCAGGAUUGUAUUCUGCUUAGAAGGAAGGUGGAACAUGGUCUGUUUAGUUUACCAUGGUCUAGUUAGAUUACCAUUAUUUAUUCCCAUCGGAGAAGGAUGUGCUGCAGUCACAUAACAUCAUUUAGUCCUAUCUGCACUCCUGUAUUUCAUUCUAUAAAUGUAUCAAGUACUGUUUUUACAGAGAGCUUCACCAUAGUGCUAAACAUUUGUAUAUUUUCUUGUUAAGUGUGGGCUGAUGAACCAUGGGGAGUAAAUAAGGGAAGAUGUUUGUUAUUGUAUCAUGAAAUUCACUAUCUCUGUGGGAGCUUUUUCCAGGAUGCAGACAGCUCUCCAUCACUCUCAGCAAACCAGCUCAGGGAGAGUCCAACUGAGGUACUGAAGAAAGUCUCUUAAGUUUGAAGGGCAAUAAUGUUUUCAGUAACAGCAAGCUCCAUGGUCUAGUUAACAGCUAUGGCAGGGAAACUUCAGAGACAGCAUCUGCAUGCUUACAGUUUUAAAGAUGAAAUUUUGUUCUUCCACAUUAUUAGAAGACCUCAGCCUCAAAAUUUGCUUUGCCAGCAAACAUACGAUGUCAUAGUAAAAGGAGAAUCUUAUGCUCUCUGGUGUCCUUCAGGGCCAUGUUCACUUAGUAUUUGCAUACUUCCUGGUGCCUUUCCUCCUUCAGCAGGCUGCUGUGUAAUCGUCCUGGGUAAUUUUUUUUAGACUUUUUUUCCCUCUGUGAAGACAAGUAACUCUCAUUUCAUUUUGUUCCCAUUUUCUUGGUAAAACUGCAUCUCUAGCAUUAAUAAGGUCAUCAUUCUCUCUAAACUAAAAUUUAGUAUUGGGCAAUGGCAGUUUUCUCUGCCCGGCCCCCCCUUCAAAUUAUUUCAUGCCUGUUUUCACCCUUUACAUUUAGUCAUUUCUGCAGAGACCUGGUAGGUGUGACUUGAAUCAGGGCUAUACUUGUUAUAACAUCAUUGACAGUCUGUCCUUGGUGCAUUUUGCCACUCUGUUCUGGGGGAGAGUUGCUGUUUUUAAGACCAGGGUUCUUCAGAAAGGAGUUGCAUCUCUGCUCAAGUGCAACCUUCACUGAAUGGUUACUGAAAUGUUUAUAGCCUUUCCAUCUUUGGGUCUAUGAACUACACUGUUGUAUUAACUAGUGCUAAGCUGGGUUUGGACAGCUCCUUUCUCCUAAGCUAAAGCAGUGUUAAGACAGUCCUGAAAAGACAUAUUCAAUUGCUUAACUUUAAGCAUGUUAGUAGUACAGCAGAACUCCCUGGAUCUAUUUGCAUGCUUAUGAUUUUGUGGGAUUGGGGCUUAACAGAGCUACACGAUCUCUUGAGAGGAUGGGGAAUGCAAAAGUAGAAAAUGCCUGGAAGCUGAGAGUAGGGAAUCGAGACAGGGAAGGAACCUUCUUACUUGCUGAUCAGAAUUAAUAGAGAUGUAGCUUUUAAAGUAUUAAUUUAAAUUAUACUUUUUGUGGAUAUUAUUAACAUUCAUGUAUUUAGUUUGCAUGUAUUUUGUAUGUAAGUUUUGCAUGGCCCAUAAAGUAACCAGUAUUUUAAUCCAUUGUUGUAUGUUUUGGAGGUCAGUCACACUAACACAGUAAGAAAUUGAGAAGCAUAGGGGAAGACAUGAGAAAUCUGCCACAAAAUCUGUGUACAUUUUAUGAUCUGUCUGGUGAAGAAUUUUAUACUCAUAAGUAGUUUUUACAGUCCUGGGGAAAAAAAUGCUUUUCUCCUACCAUCCUCCUAUGCAGCAGUAUGUAUUUUCUAGUGGCGAGGUGGUAAGUAAUAUAUGCUGUAAAAUUGGAAUAUUUAUUGGCUUUGUAUUUGUCGUCUGUAGAAAUGAGUAAGGGACGUAUUUUUAUAGGAAAUAUUUACAUGUAUUUUUGUUUGUUAGCCAAAAGAUUAUAAUCUGUCUAUUAGUGCUUUGUGGUUUCAUAAUAAAGAAGUGCAAAAUGUA